CCCUCUGCCCCCCCUGCCCCCCUGCCCUUCCACCCGCAGGGCUCUUGCUGGCCCGGGUUGGGUGCGACAGUCCCCUGGGGUUUGGUCCUUAACGGAAUUGCAGCCUCCUCCACUAAGUGCUUGUGUGAUAACACCCGGCUCUCUCUGUCCUAAUUUGAGGGGGAAAUAUAUCACCUGGCUACAACCUCCGAAGCAUAAUACCCUCCAGUUCCAUCCAAGUCGAAGCAAAUGAUACAGAUACAGUGAAACGCCAGGACUCCUGCAUUUUUUUUCUUUCUCGGCCUCACGACAAUUUCUUACAUCCUGGCAGCACCUACUUAGGCUAGUAACAUCCAAGUCACUCACCCCUCUGUCCCCAGAAGACACAGAUUUUAUUUCUUUGUUCGUGAGAGACACACAGAGAGAGGCAGACACCUAGACUCCCUGCAGGGAGCCAGAUGGAGGACUCCAAUGGGAAACAGAGAUCACGCCUUGCACCGGAGGCAAGCCUCAACCACUGAGCCACCCAGGUGCCCCAGUCCUCUGAGGGAGAGGAGCCCAGAAUGUAAGCUGGAGCCAGAGUGUUGUGUCCCAGAAGCCUGAGCCAGGACACCAAGAGCAUGAAGUUUAAAAAAAAAAAAGGAAAAGAUUUUGGAAUUCAAAAAAUUAAAAACUUCUUCUCUUUAGUUAGUUUUAAGAAGACAAAAAGGCAAGCCACAGUCUGGAGGAAAAUAUUUCAAUACAUAUACCUGACCAAAGGCUGGUAUCCAUAAUUUACUGAACUAAAAGCUCAAUAAUGAGAAGAUAAAACAACCAAUUACAAACACCAAAAGAUUUGAAUAGACACUCCACAAAAGAAGACAUAUCAGUGGCCAAUUAGUACCUGAAAACAUGCUCAACAUCAUUAGUCAUUAGGGAAAUGCAAAUUAAAGCUCCAGUGAGAUACUACUACACACCCAUUAGAAUGGUUAAACUUAAAAAAAAAAAAAAACUGACAAUAUUGUGUGUUAGCAAGAGUGAGGAGCAACUAGAACUUUCAUAUAUUGUUGCUGGAAAAGUAAGAUGGCACAACCAAUUUGGAAAACAAUUGGGUGGUCUUUUAUAAGGUUAAAUACAUAUCUCUAGUAUGAUCAACCCAGCAACCCCACUCCUAGAUAUUUGUUCAAGAGAAAUGAAAAUGAAUGUUCAUAACAGCUUUAUCGUAAUAAUCUAAACCUGGAAACAACCCAGAUGUCCAUCAACAGGUAACUGGUAAAACAAAAAGUUUAUAGCCAUACAAUAGAAACUACUUAGCAAUAAAAAAGAAAUGAACUAUUGAUACAUGCAACAAACAACAUGACAGGUCUCAAAAGAAUUAGGUAAGUGACAAAGCCAAAUGUGAAAAACUAUAUACUGUAUCAUACAAAAUUCUAGAAGAGCCUGAAAGCAGAUUAGUGGUUGCCUAGUGCUGAGAGGGAGAGGUGAAGGAAAUGUUCUUUAACUUAAUAGAACAUGGUGGUGGUGGUACAGGGUAUAGGCAUUUGUUAAAAAUUGCGGAAUUACAUAUUGAAAUGCGUGCAUUUUAUUGCAUGCAAAUUAUACCUUAAUAAUUAGUUUAUUUCUUAAAAAAAUAGCUACAAAUUCUCCGAUACUCCUCCCAUUAAGCGGUGGAGUCUCUCUUCCCUCUUCUUGAAUAUAGGUGGUCUUACGACUAUUUCAACCAAGAGAAUAUAGCAGAAAUGAUUAUACAUUAUUUCCAAGGCUAGGUCAGAAAAAGCUGCUUCUGGGUUCUUUUGGGAUACUUGUUCUGAGGGAAGCCAACUGCCAUGUAAAGAGCCCAUCUACUUUGAGACAGCCAUGCUGGAGAGGUCACAUGUAGGCCCUAUGGUCAUCUCUUCCAACUGAGCCUACCUUUGAGCCCAAAAAGUACUUGACAUGUGAGUGAAGGUAUCUUGAAUCCUCCCAACAAGCCAUCCAUCAGCUGAGAAUUGCUGAGUUGUGCCAUAGUUGAUGCCACAGGAGCAAGAGAUUGCCAGUUACUACCCUGCAGAAUCUGGGAUAUGGUUGUUUAAAGCCACUAAGUUUUGAUAGUGUAUUAGUUAGCUAUUACUAUAUAACAAAUUACUCCAAAAUUUAGUGAUUCAAGACAACAACAAUAACUUAUUGUCUCACUGUAUCUAUGGAUUAGGAGUUUGGGAGCAAGUUGAUUGGGAAGUCCUAACUUGGGGUAUCUCAUGAGGUCAGAUGUUGGGCAGAUUCUUUCUGCCUGAAGGAGCUUUCAGUCUAUGGGGAGUGAGGAGCAGACAAGUUGUUAGGCCAUCACAACACAGUUUGAUAACCGUGGAAUAGGGGUAAAAACCCCUGGAAAGGGAAAAACCUAACCCAGUCUUGAGAGUCAGGGAAAAAUUUCCAGAGGAACUGAGGUCUGAAUUGAGACUUGACCAUGAGCAGGCAUUAGUCAGUUUAGAGGGUUGGAUGUGAAAGGGGCUGGAACAGAGGGAUUGACAUGGAAAAAGUCCUACAGGUAAAAAUGAAAAUGAUGAGUUUCUUGUGAAGCUGAAAGAAAUUUACUAAUGCUUGGAGAAUAGGGUCCCAGAGAGGGGAGAAGAGCUAGCCAGCAGGAUAGAAGCAACAGGACAGAUGGUGUUGGGUCCUCUGAAUCAUCUUUCAUGACAAAAGUUCACUCUGGCUACAGUAUAGAAGGGUUGGGAGAGGUCAAGAUAGGGACAGGAUCCAGGAUGAACUUCACUGAUCACACUUUCCAUCUUUCUUCUGCCUACGAGCUUCUCACAUAGGUCUGCUGCUUGGUCCAGGAGACAUGUCACUGCCUCUGCCUUUUGCACGUUUGCAAUGGUUGGCAAAAAGAAUGACCUCAUUUCCCUGGCUCAAGUUAUCAGCUUGCCCAAUCUUUAGAACCUUCUAUGACUCAGGUCAAAAGAACCUUCCAGCAAGCCUCAUAUCUGCCUUCAUAAAGAGCGAGUGUGUGUUGUAAUGCUGAGUCCCCCUCACACUACACCCACACAGCUAUAAAGACACAUCCACCUACACGUGAAACCCGAGAAUGAGGACCAACCUCUCCUAAAAUGAGAACUCACUCCCUUACACAUACAUAUGUGUCUUACACAUAAGUGGCACCGUAAGUACUGGUUGAAUCAUCUGCUUUCUUUUUCUUCCAGACUCUUAUUCUUUAGACUUUGACUCCAUAGACCAGCAUAACCUGUUUUAGCUUCUCACUUACCUGAGUCCCCUGGACUUGGCUUCUUGCCUUCUUGACCUCUUGCCUUUGAGUCCGGCCAAGGCUCUGAAACUCAACUUUUGUUCAUAUAUCCAUGGAAUCUGUACACUAUCCCUGCCCAGCAGAUGGGGGCCCAGCUCCUCUGAUGCAGAGCAGCCUGGCCAUCUGCUCAAACCCUGAGAGAACGUGGUCACAAUUUAAGGAAUCCAUUUGGAUAUUCCCUGACAGCUCCGGCCCUCCCCAGCCCCUCCCAGCUGGAGCCACGAGAAAGCACCCACCAGGAAGGAGACUCAGACUUCCUCAUUCCUCUAGUCAAUCUGACUGAGCAGUGCUUCUUAAAGUUUAACGGGCAGACAAAUCACCUGGGGGGUCAGAUCAAAGUGGAUAUUCUGAUAUUUGGGGCUGGGGUGGGGUCUGAGAGCCUGCAAUUUCUAAGAAGUUCCCCAAGUCAUGUCAAUGGCUCAUGAGCUUCAUUUGAGUGGUAAAAUGUGAAUGUGUAGACUAGCAACCUCAGCCUCACUUGGAGAUAGGGCCUGGAAUGCAACUUUUCCCCCAUUUGCCAGAAAAUAUUUAUUAAACACUGUUUCUCUUUGUGGUCCUUGCUGUGCUGCUAAGAUCCCUUCUUUGUUUUCAAGGAUAGAAUAAAAGCCUAUAUAUUUGGGGCCUAAAUACUUUAUGAAGUUUAAUUCUCACCACAUCCCUGUGGGAUUAGUAUGAUUCCUGUCUUAUACAUGAGGAACCAGAGUUUUACACAGGUUAAGAAGCUUGUCAAAGGUUGUACUAAUGCAAAUGGCAGCUGGGAUUCCAGCUCACUUCUCUGGCUCUGAGCCUUCCUACUUUCUGGGAUAACUCAAGCAUCUCUUCCUUAAUCUUCUUAUGUUGCCAAAAUCCACACAGUUGGGUUUCUGCCUCAGCUUCCUUGCCUAACACUUUAGUUUCUGGCUUUCUGGCUCAGGCUGAGCCCUGCUCCAAACCCCCGCCCUCUUGGCUAGUGAUCACGCACCCAGCUCUUUCCAGCCCCUCCUCACCCACCCAUGCCUUAGUUGGGAUUCGGCUACAGAUGGUCCAGUUGCCUGGAAACAAAGCAUUGCUUCAUGUUGCAAAAUAGCUUCUAGGAACUAGAAUGUUUCCUUUCCUCUGUAACUUUCCCUCCUGAUGCUUUGAAGUUUCACACUCAGCAUCAAGCACUUCGGAAAGUAAAUAAGCUGCAAAAUAGGCGUAGUAAAGAAAGAGGGAAGUGGCACUAAUUUUUGCAAACUUCAUUCUUGGACCUCUUCCGCCCAGGGCGGUAUUCCUAAUGGUCCAGGCAUCCUUUCCCUAGGGGUGUAGCAACUAGUAGAGCUUAUGAUUUGACUUAUCCCCAACCCUAUCUCUGCUAGGCUGAGGCUCUAGAGAGGUCAGAAAGAGUCAGAAAGAGUCUGGGGGAGUUGUCCACAUGGGAUGGAUGUUACAUAGACCACAGAAGCUCUGGCCUGUGAUCAUGGCUUUGACUUCUAGGGCUCCCCACUCCCUCCCCACCAGUCCCUCUUAGCAGGGCCAGCUUUAAGCAAGGAGCUUACUUCCAUUUACUCCCAUUGAAUUACCCAGUGCAGGAGGAGGGAAAGUAUUUGCAAUGGCCUCAACUGCUUCAUCUUCCUUGGAGUAGCAGAAUUUAGCAAGAAUUGGGUAUUGAAAUGUGUCAUUGUCAGUUCUCACUGACCCAUGCAAAGUUUUCUCCCUUUGUUACUCAGUGUAACCCAUUCUUCUUCCUGAUACUGUGACUUUUAGUGCAAAAUCUCUAACAGAAUUUUGUAAGCCAUUCCCUGUGCUCAGACUGAUGCUUUUGAUGAUCAUGAACCAGACCUCAGGCAACCUUCUGUAGGCCCUAUAUCAUUUUAAGUGACAUCUGUUUCUUGUUUAAGUGUUUCUUCCCUCCACCCACAUACCCAGCAGUUGGCAAUUCCUACCCAACUCAGGCCCAAGUUUGUCAUGGACCUUCUGACCCCCUGACUGUAUGUAGUUGGGUCCUCUGAUCCCUAUGCCUUGGUCCUCUUCCCCUCAACACUAUGAGGUGACUUUAACCACACGUCAGGCAGCCGCUCUGUAAGUCACCCAAACUCCUUCUGCUCUUGCCCGCAAUCAGACAACAUGUAAACAUGUUCAUGGUCAGCAGUAUGAAACUUGCGGUCUAAGUUCGAGUCCCUCUCAGGGUUUGCCAUGGUUUCUGUACAAGUCUUGGAGUUGUUUUUUGUUUACUCUGAGCAGGCGGAUGGUGGACGGAGCUUCAGCCUGACCACAGCAUCCUGUAGUCAGCGUGUAGAGUUUACAUGCAUCUUGAAACUUUCGAGUGUUAUUUGAUCUGGGGCCGUAAGAAGUAUUCCAAAGUAAAGUUUCAAAGCUUUGCAUCAAUAUUUUCCUUAUGGGGACUCUACUUGAGUCUAGAAAAUUUCGUGAUCAACACCAACAUUUUUUUAGCUCCACUGUUGACUGUGUAAUUUUUGGCAAUCUUCAGGCAUUCUUUGUUGCAAAUUCUUUUGAAACCAGUAGCAAAUGCUUAGUAGCAUUGAUAGUAUCAACCAAAACUUAGUUUGGAAAUUGAAUAAAAGGAAAAAAAUAAAUGAGUUAAUGUUCUAAACUUAAGUGUAUUUUUACCUUCUCUCAAGUCUAUGUGCUAUUUCUUGUCUUAGAAAAAUUUAAAUGAUCUUAGCAUAGGAUAUGUCCGAUUACAAACUAUACAUGCUGUUAAUUGAAUAAGUAAACAAAUGAAUGUGGGUGGAGUGGAGGAGGAGGCUGGGGUUGGGAUGGUGGUCAGAGCACCCAGCAAUCCUGGUAGUGCCCGAGGGCUGAGACAGAGCCAGGCAGAGGUCAGUGCCAGGUCUAAGCCAGCCUAGUGACCUUGUCCAUUGUCUCCAUAUUCAUAGACCCUAUAGGAAGCCCUGCCCCACAUUCAGGUGCUUGGCAUGUCAGUGCUGCUUUCACCCCUGCCCUCCCUUCUCCACCUACUUGCUCCUUACUGUUGGCUUCUGCUACUACCUUCUUUCUUUCUUCCCUCUUGGCUGGUUCCCCCUCUCUCUCUGCCAGGCUCCUUUGGAUUGAUGCUUUUAGGCUGGGCGUUGGUUCUGUUCCCUGCCUUCCUUCCUAGUUUCUUUCCUCAGAUUCCUUCUUACAUCCACAUUCCAAGCUGUGGGCCAGCUCUACUUUAAUCUGAGCCGAGCUCUAGUUUCCUAGUUGGAGCCUUAGACAUGUACUGACCUAAUUGGCAAAAUGGAUCUCAGGAAUUGGGGCAUAGCAGCAGGAAUUUUCAGAUAGGGGUGGUGCUCAAAACCAGGCAGGCAACAAGGCUGAGGGCACAGAUUUUAUCUAGUUUGGGUCAGGACUGUGAUUGGAAGGAAGAGACUAGCAGGAGAUGGUCAAGAGGUCAGGGAUUCCAGGGUAGGCUAUCCAUGUAGCAGAGUAACUCAAGUGCAAAGCAAAGAGUUAAGGAGAGUUCCAGUCUUACAGAAAGGCAAGCAUGCUCCUGACAAAAGGUUAGGGAUAAGGUUGUAAUUUGGUGGGCACAUAGGUAUACACAAAACCCAAGUUACAUUAGUGCGAAUUCCAGACUCUCUACCUGGGGGUCUGAAACAUUGAUCUGGCAGUCUGGUUGGGGCUGAGACUCAAAGAGCAGACGUUGAGAGGAGGCAAGAGAGGGUGUGAAUCCCAACUCUGCUACUUACUAACUCUGUGACCUUGGGCAAAUUGCUUCACCUUGAGCCCAAGUCCUGUAAAAUGGGGUUGGUAACAGCUACCUCACCUGGAUGUGGUGAGGAUUAAAUGAUGACUUUGGGAUGACUUUGAGGCUUCCUCAAAAAGAAGACAAGUCUUUGAGCAGCUAGGGCUUUCCAUGAGGCCCAAGUGGGGAGAGGGCAAUGGUCAGCAGCCCAGCACUGGUGUGGCUGUCUCUGGUGCCACAGUCAUCAUUCAGGUUUGGCAGCUGGAGAACAAGAACACCCAGUGGGUGUGCUCCCCACCCCCACUCCGGCCACCCCAGGUCUGGGGGAGUGGUUGGGUGUUGGCUCAUUCAUCUCUGCCACAUGCUCAUGUGUAUAUAGUACUGUUGUAUUUGCUAUGACUCUGCCAGGAGCUCAUGGUCUCUGAGUGCCAAGUCAGUGCAUCUUUUGACUUCAAGCUCAAGCAGAGGUGACCAAAAAUGGAAAAAAAAAAAAAACA